AUUGAACGCUGGCGGCAUGCCUUACACAUGCAAGUCGAACGGCAGCACGGGAGCAAUCCUGGUGGCGAGUGGCGAACGGGUGAGUAAUAUAUCGGAACGUGCCCAGUCGUGGGGGAUAACGUAGCGAAAGCUACGCUAAUACCGCAUACGAUCUAGGGAUGAAAGCGGGGGAUCGCAAGACCUCGCGCGAUUGGACCGGUCGAUAUCAGAUUAGGUAUUUGGUGAGGUAAAGGCUCACCAAGCCGACGAUCUGUAGCUGGUCUGAGAGGACGACCAGCCACACUGGGACUGAGACACGGCCCAGACUCCUACGGGAGGCAGCAGUGGGGAAUUUUGGACAAUGGGCGCAAGCCUGAUCCAGCAAUGCCGCGUGCAGGAUGAAGGCCUUCGGGUUGUAAACUGCUUUUGUACGGAACGAAACGGCGAGCUCUAAUACAGUUUGCUAAUGACGGUACCGUAAGAAUAAGCACCGGCUAACUACGUGCCAGCCGCCGCCGUAA
rnacentral:rRNA from 1 species